rnacentral:tRNA from 1 species
AGGGUAAUAACUCAGUGGUAGAGUGCGUGCUUAGCAUGCGAGAGGUCCUGGGUUCAAUCCUCAGUCCCUCCA